rnacentral:rRNA from 1 species
GUGUAAGUGCAGUAAUGUAUUCAGCUGACCAGUACUAAUAGGCCGUGUGGCUUGACCCUUAC